rnacentral:rRNA from 2 species
CAUAAGCCAGCUUGACUGCGAGCGUGACGGCGCGAGCAGGUGCGAAAGCAGGUCAUAGUGAUCCGGUGGUUCUGAAUGGAAGGGCCAUCGCUCAACGGAUAAAAGGUACUCCGGGGAUAACAGGCUGAUACCGCCCAAGAGUUCAUAUCGACGGCGGUGUUUGGCACCUCGAUGUCGGCUCAUCACAUCCUGGGGCUGAAGUAGGUCCCAAGGGUAUGGCUGUUCGCCAUUUAAAGUGGUACGCGAGCUGGGUUUAGAACGUCGUGAGACAGUUCGGUCCCUAUCUGCCGUGGGCGCUGGAGAACUGAGGGGGGCUGCUCCUAGUACGAGAGGACCGGAGUGGACGCAUCACUGGUGUUCGGGUUGUCAUGCCAAUGGCACUGCCCGGUAGCUAAAUGCGGAAGAGA